rnacentral:misc_RNA from 1 species
UCCUGCACAAGGCGGCUCCCCUGCGGCUCCCGAGCAAGAGGUGCCAGCUCCGAUGCCGGAGCAGAUCGUACCCGGGGUGGACGACGCCCCAGCGGAUAACGAACCGCUGGAACCAAGGCUUCCACGGUAGGCGGGCGGGCUCCUGUCCGCGCAUGGCGUGAGAAAGGGAGGCCUUGCCGGGUAAGUUUCGGCGCUUGCGAGUCGGCGGUUGCGGUAAGCACAUAUGCGCUGUCUGAUCGGCUGCCAUCUCACCCCUCGAGCAGAGCGCACCUUAUCACCAAUAAACUCCAGACGA